rnacentral:rRNA from 1 species
AUGAACGCUGGCGGCGUGCCUAAUCCCUGCAAGUCGCGCGAACGGACGAGAAGCUUGCUUCUCUGAUGUUAGCGGCGGACGGGUGAGUAACACGUGGAUAACCUACCUAUAAGACUGGGAUAACUUCGGGAAACCGGAGCUAAUACCGGAUAAUAUUUUGAACCGCAUGGUUCAAAAGUGAAAGACGGUCUUGCUGUCACUUAUAGGUGGAUCCGCGCUGCAUUAGCUAGUUGGUAAGGUAACGGCUUACCAAGGCAACGAUGCAUAGCCGACCUGAGAGGGUGAUCGGCCACACUGGAACUGAGACACGGUCCAGACUCCUACGGGAGGCAGCAGUAGGGAAUCUUCCGCAAUGGGCGAAAGCCUGACGGAGCAACGCCGCGUGAGUGAUGAAGGUCUUCGGAUCGUAAAACUCUGUUAUUAGGGAAGAACAUAUGUGUAAGUAACUGUGCACAUCUUGACGGUACCUAAUCAGAAAGCCACGGCUAACUACGUG